CAAGAAGACACGGCUGACUAUUCUAUUCGCGCGCAUCGAAGAGCCGUCUCCUUCACGCUCUCUCUCUCUCUCUCUCUGGUUUCUCACGUUUUUUUUUAAAUGAAAAUGAAAAUAAAAAUAAAAUCACCUUCUAUCAUCCUCCUUUUCCAAUCACCACCUUCUAUCGCUGCUGGACUUAAUCUCGGUGCCAUCCCGUUCGGUGGAUUCAGUGAUCUGGAGGUACCUGCCUUCAAGACGGCGAUUGAAGCGCAUCAAAGGAAGAUUACGGAGGCGAUUCUAGAACAUGCCUUGGAGAUUUGCCAUGAAAAGAAAGGAACUUUUGUUUCUGUCGUAUCAGCUUCAUGAGCUGCUAUCUCUAUUAAUUCGUUUUGCUAUUUUAUUGAGAGUUACUUUAAUGCUCAGGAAAAUGUGAAAACACAAGGGGUGAUGGGGGAUUCGAAGGAGAAGAUAUUUGAAGUUGUUGAGCAUCUACAUUCUGAUUUGCUUGUGAUGGGCUGUCGUUCUUUUGGCCCCUAUUAAAAGGAUGUUCUUGGGAAGUGUAAGCAAUUACUGCACCAACCAUGCACAAUGCCUUGUCAUUAUAGUUAAGGGAAAGGACCCUUCAUCAUAAACUAAACGAGGUAUGCUUCCUAAUACUACAGUGGACAAAUGACAGCACUUCAUGUCUUUAACCCUUCGAUUUAUGAUACAUGAAUCAUCUAUAACCUCUUCAAUCUUCCAACAUUUCUUUUCUGUAUAUCUGUUCUAGCAAUUCAUUGUUAUACACUUAGAUAACUACUGUGGCAAUGGACACAAGGUGCAUGGUUUGCAUUCUUGAGUUACUUCAAGUUGAUAUCUUCUUCUGCAGAUAAAUUUGUUUUGAAAUCAAGCUUUCUUUCAAUUAUGUACUUGGCGAAUUCCAACUAGUCUGGGACUAGGGUUAGUUGAAUUGGAUUUGAUGCUGUUCUCGCAAACAACUAACUGCUUUAGAAUAUUAGUUUGGUUGAUACUAUGUGCCAUCGAGCAAUUAUUUCUAAGCCUGAAACUUUGAAUGAGUGGUUCCUAGAUUUCAUUAAUAAAUUAAACUGCAUAGGUCAGUGUUUUUUUAGAUGGAAAAGCUUCAUUGUCACACAUUCUUGGACAAAUUUUAUGUUCUACAUGGCAGGCAGAAACUUGAUGUUGUCUCUUUGGCAAAUAGGCUGCUGAGUGACUGGUUUUUGACUUGGAAAUCAAAAUUCUCGUAUUUUCACUUUGUUUCCAUAUAUAAUUUCCUAAUUGGAGAGCUAAUGUAUAAGAUGCCUAAUUGAUUGCACAAGUUAAAAUGCUAAAAUAAGCAAAACAUGUGUUUCGACAAAUUUUGGGUGCUCAAGUUUACUUAUUUAAUGAACGAAAAGAAAGUCUAGGAAAAUUAGAACAUGUAAAUACUUUCGCAUCAGUUUGGAUUGACUCUUUUUUGCUCAGUGGUACGAGUUUGCUUUUAGUAUCUUUGGCAGGGUUCUUGGUGCUUUUAACAGGAAUCCCCUAAUGCUUUUAAGACUGUUUUGCACCAACAGUUUUUCAUGCUUCAGAUGAAAUUAUGCAGUUUAUUGUGGAUGUGAUGGGAAAGAGUUUCAAGCCGUAAUGUAGUCUUUCACUCUGUUUUGUAGAGUUUGUGAGUGAUUUUGGAGGAAAAGCUUGGUAGUGGGAUAUGGAGUCAUCUGUGCUUGCGCUAUUGCUGGGUGAAUAAUAAUAAUAUUCUGCUGUAUAUUCAUUUUUUUUAAUAAAAAUGCCUUCAUUUGUUUACUCUGACGGGCAUUGCUGUCUGUAUUGAUUUUAGCGUAGGAAAAUUGAUUAAUUUCCUCAACCGCAGGUGGUUGCUUCAGAGUCAACUUCUGUGUUGGUGCGUUUGAUUUUAAGUUUUGUAUACUGUUAUACUCGUACAUGAACUGCGGCAUUUCUGCUGCAUAAUAAAAUUACAAAACCCCCUCACUCCUCCCUAUAAAAUAAA